UACAGAGGGUGCGAGCGUUAAUCGGAAUUACUGGGCGUAAAGGGUGCGUAGGCGGUCGUGUAAGUCGGGUGUGAAAGCCCCGUGCUCAACCUGGGAAUUGCAUUCGAGACUGCACGGCUAGAGUGCGGAAGAGGGAAGCGGAAUUUGCGGUGUAGCGGUGAAAUGCGUAUAUAUCGGAAGGAACAUCAGUGGCGAAAGCGGCUUCCUGGUCCAGCACUGACGCUCAGGCACGAAAGCGUGGGGAGCAAACAGG
rnacentral:rRNA from 1 species